rnacentral:rRNA from 1 species
AGUGAACGCUGGCGGUAGGCCUAACACAUGCAAGUCGAACGGCAGCACAGUAAGAGCUUGCUCUUACGGGUGGCGAGUGGCGGACGGGUGAGGAAUACAUCGGAAUCUACUUUUUCGUGGGGGAUAACGUAGGGAAACUUACGCUAAUGCCGCAUACGACCUACGGGUGAAAGCAGGGGAUCUUCGGACCUUGCGCGAUUGAAUGAGCCGAUGUCGGAUUAGCUAGUUGGCGGGGUAAAGGCCCACCAAGGCGACGAUCCGUAGCUGGUCUGAGAGGAUGAUCAGCCACACUGGAACUGAGACACGGUCCAGACUCCUACGGGAGGCAGCAGUGGGGAAUAUUGGACAAUGGGCGCAAGCCUGAUCCAGCCAUACCGCGUGGGUGAAGAAGGCCUUCGGGUUGUAAAGCCCUUUUGUUGGGAAAGAAAAGCAGCAGGUUAAUACCCCGCUGUUCUGACGGUACCCAAAGAAUAAGCACCGGCUAACUUCG